UACGUAGGGCGCAAGCGUUGUCCGGAAUUAUUGGGCGUAAAGAGCUCGUAGGCGGUUUGUCGCGUCUGUCGUGAAAGCUUGGGGCUUAACCCCAAGUCUGCGGUGGAUACGGGCAGACUAGAGGCAGGUAGGGGAGAACGGAAUUCCCGGUGUAGCGGUGAAAUUCGUAGAUAUUGGGAAGAACACCGGUGGCGAAGGCGGCGCUCUGGACCGAUACUGACGCUGAGGCGCGAAAGCGUGGGGAGCAAACAGG
rnacentral:rRNA from 1 species